AGUGACUUCCUUCUGCAGUGUUGAUUCAGCUCCCUUUGAAGGCGGAUCCAUACAAACAGGCUGACCAUCAGGGCUGGUCCCAGGCCACCAGGCUGGGUGCAAUGCAGAAAUGGAGAUCUGCCCCGGGGAAGGCAGGUGAGUGUAGGAAGGAGGGAGGGCUGCGAGAAGCUGGGGGCAGCCUCCAUCCCCCUGUGGCCUGGGUGGGCCUGUGCCCCCCCAACCCCCCGACGCAGCUUCCCACACUGGGAGCACAGUUCCUCCCUCCUCUGCCUUCCUCUGCGUGGUGUGGCUCCUCCUUGAGGGAGAGAGCUGAGGAGGUGGCAUUCUUGCUUCCCUGACUCACCCAAAGGAAGAUUUCACAGCCCCUGGCAAGGGCUGCCAGACAGGCUCACCUGUCACCCCCUGUCCAGGGACAGACUGACCGGUAGCCUUGGCUGGGUGGGGAGUUAUGCUGGGAAGUCUUCCAGGCCCCCUGGGGGUGGGAAGAUGCUCAAUGUUCAAAGGAGAUGGAACGAGGAAAACAGUUAAGCAACGAUGGACUCCAGGGGGAAAACCGGAGAAGAAGAAACUGUAAUUCCAGUCCGUCCACAUGGCCCAGCAGUGAACGACAAUUGCAUGGUCAGAGAGAGCAAAAGCACCACGCCGACUGAAAGCAGCUCGAAUGUGGUGGGGCAGUGGGAGAUAAUGCCCUCAUCUACCAAAACAAGAUCUGCCACCUUCGCAGACCACUAAACCUCAUUCCUCCACCCACCUCCCCACCCCCAUGAAGGCCAACUGACCAGAGAGCAGGGCUCCCGAGGGUCGGGUCGGGUCGGGUCGGGUUGGGUCGGGUGGGUGCCUCUUACCCUAACUGAGGCUCUGCCCUGGACUCGGAGUCCACUUGCUGUCAAAGCAUGCCACUCUUCUUUCUGAUACUUGACAUAUUUCUUUUCCCGUUCAAUUCAUGGUUUCUGCCCAAACGGAGCCACGUGAGGACUUCUUUGGGGAUGUGUCUCCAAGAAAAGUGUGGGCUGCCUUCCUCACCCUGGAUGCCUGUGGGCAGCCUUCCUCACCCUGGAUGCCUGUGGGCAGCCUUCCUCACCCUGGAUGCCUGUGGGCUGCCUUCCUCACCCUGGAUGCCUGUGGGCAGCCUUCCUCACCCUGGAUGCCUGUGGGCUGCCUUCCUCACCCUGGAUGCCUGUGGGCAGCCUUCCUCACCCUGGAUGCCUGUGGGCAGCCUUCCUCACCCUGGAUGCCUGUGACUUGGUUUCCAUGGGGGCUUCCUAAGCUCAGGGACCCCAAGCCUCCAUCAAAUCUAAUGACCCGCCUUGUCUCUGAACACACCUGUGUUGUCCCCGAGCCCCUCACCAACCCCCUCUGCAACCCGGCCCACGCAUUUCCCAUCCUGAAGGGUCCAGCUCAUAGGCCGGCCCAUGUGUUCCCUUUACCCCUGCUUUGUCCCUACCUGGUGGGGAGCUGUCCCUUCUGGGCCCUAGUGUGGCACUUCACACACAAAUGUGUCCUGUGGGUGGUAUCUGGGCCUCCCCCUGCAGUGAGGGGAUGACCAAUGUGCAGAGCUCACUGGGCCUGGAUAUGGGCUCGGGUGGCACAGAACAGAGAGAAAGUGCUCCGUAAAAGUGAGCUGCGAUGCGGAGGUGGGCAAGCUCUUCCCUGGAGGGGGAAGAGCUCUCAACCCAGAGGGAUCUGACCAGGAAGGUUCACCCCCCCUCCACCCAGGAAGCCCCUGCAGACAGUAUGUGUUUUAGGCUUUGCUGGCCAAAUGGUCUCUGCCGCGACUACUCAGCUCUGCCAUUGUGGCUGCAGAGUGACCAUAGACCUUCUGAAAGUGAAUGAGUAUGACUGUGUUCCAAUAAAACUUUAUUGACAAAAA
ensembl:lncRNA ITGB2-AS1 ITGB2 antisense RNA 1